GAUGAACGCUGGCGACGUGCCUAAUACAUGCAAGUCGAGCGAACGGACGAGAAGCUUGCUUCUCUGAUGUUAGCGGCGGACGGGUGAGUAACACGUGGAUAACCUACCUAUAAGACUGGGAUAACUUCGGGAAACCGGAGCUAAUACCGGAUAAUAUUUUGAACCGCAUGGUUCAAAAGUGAAAGACGGUCUUGCUGUCACUUAUAGAUGGAUCCGCGCUGCAUUAGCUAGUUGGUAAGGUAACGGCUUACCAAGGCAACGAUGCAUAGCCGACCUGAGAGGGUGAUCGGCCACACUGGAACUGAGACACGGUCCAGACUCCUACGGGAGGCAGCAGUAGGGAAUCUUCCGCAAUGGGCGAAAGCCUGACGGAGCAACGCCGCGUGAGUGAUGAAGGUCUUCGGAUCGUAAAACUCUGUUAUUAGGGAAGAACAUAUGUGUAAGUAACUGUGCACAUCUUGACGGUACCUAAUCAGAAAGCCACGGCUAACUACGUGCCAGCAGCCGCGGUAAUACGUAGGUGGCAAGCGUUAUCCGGAAUUAUUGGGCGUAAAGCGCGCGUAGGCGGUUUUUUAAGUCUGAUGUGAAAGCCCACGGCUCAACCGUGGAGGGUCAUUGGAAACUGGAAAACUUGAGUGCAGAAGAGGAAAGUGGAAUUCCAUGUGUAGCGGUGAAAUGCGCAGAGAUAUGGAGGAACACCAGUGGCGAAGGCGACUUUCUGGUCUGUAACUGACGCUGAUGUGCGAAAGCGUGGGGAUCAAACAGGAUUAGAUACCCUGGUAGUCCACGCCGUAAACGAUGAGUGCUAAGUGUUAGGGGGUUUCCGCCCCUUAGUGCUGCAGCUAACGCAUUAAGCACUCCGCCUGGGGAGUACGACCGCAAGGUUGAAACUCAAAGGAAUUGACGGGGACCCGCACAAGCGGUGGAGCAUGUGGUUUAAUUCGAAGCAACGCGAAGAACCUUACCAAAUCUUGACAUCCUUUGACAACUCUAGAGAUAGAGCCUUCCCCUUCGGGGGACAAAGUGACAGGUGGUGCAUGGUUGUCGUCAGCUCGUGUCGUGAGAUGUUGGGUUAAGUCCUGCAACGAGCGCAACCCUUAAGCUUAGUUGCCAUCAUUAAGUUGGGCACUCUAAGUUGACUGCCGGUGACAAACCGGAGGAAGGUGGGGAUGACGUCAAAUCAUCAUGCCCCUUAUGAUUUGGGCUACACACGUGCUACAAUGGACAAUACAAAGGGCAGCGAAACCGCGAGGUCAAGCAAAUCCCAUAAAGUUGUUCUCAGUUCGGAUUGUAGUCUGCAACUCGACUACAUGAAGCUGGAAUCGCUAGUAAUCGUAGAUCAGCAUGCUACGGUGAAUACGUUCCCGGGUCU
rnacentral:rRNA from 1 species